GAGUUUGAUCCUGGCUCAGGAUGAACGCUGGCGGCGUGCCUAACACAUGCAAGUCGAACGGAGUUAUUAUUAUGAAGUCUUCGGAUGGAUUAAUAAUGACUUAGUGGCGGACGGGUGAGUAACGCGUGGGUAACCUGCCUCAUACAGGGGGAUAACAGUUGGAAACGGCUGCUAAAACCGCAUAAGCAUACGCUGUCGCAUGACAGAGUGUGAAAAUAUUUAUAGGUAUGAGAUGGGCCCGCGUCUGAUUAGCUAGUUGGUAAGGUAACGGCUUACCAAGGCGACGAUCAGUAGCCGGCUUGAGAGAGUGACCGGCCACAUUGGGACUGAGACAC
rnacentral:rRNA from 1 species